AUACGGAGGGUGCAAGCGUUACUCGGAAUCACUGGGCGUAAAGCGCGCGCAGGCGGUCUUUUAAGUUGAUGUGAAAGCCUACGGCUCAACCGUAGAACUGCAUCCAAAACUAUUAGACUAGAGUGUGGGAGAGGAAGAUGGAAUUAGUUGUGUAGGUGUAAAAUCCGUAGAGAUAACUAGGAAUACCAAAAGCGAAGGCAAUCUUCUGGAACACUACUGACGCUGAGGCGCGAAAGCGUGGGGAGCAAACAGGAUUAGAAACCCCAGUAGUCC
rnacentral:rRNA from 1 species